ACUCCUACGGGAGGCAGCAGUGGGGAAUUUUGGACAAUGGGCGAAAGCCUGAUCCAGCAAUGCCGCGUGAGUGAAGAAGGCCUUCGGGUUGUAAAGCUCUUUUGUCAGGGAAGAAACGGUGAAAGCUAAUAUCUUUUGCUAAUGACGGUACCUGAAGAAUAAGCACCGGCUAACUACGUGCCAGCAGCCGCGGUAAUACGUCGGGUGCAAGCGUUAAUCGGAAUUACUGGGCGUAAAGCGUGCGCAGGCGGUUUUGUAAGUCUGAGGUGAAAUCCCCGGGCUCAACCUGGGAAUUGCAUUGGAGACUGCAAGGCUAGAAUCUGGCAGAGGGGGGUAGAAUUCCACGUGUAGCAGUGAAAUGCGUAGAUAUGUGGAGGAACACCGAUGGCGAAGGCAGCCCCCUGGGUCAAGAUUGACGCUCAUGCACGAAAGCGUGGGGAGCAAACAGGAUUAGAAACCCUAGUAGUCCCAUG
rnacentral:rRNA from 1 species